CGGAUGUAGCCAAGUGGAUUAAGGCAGUGGAUUG
rnacentral:tRNA from 1 species